UACAGAGGGUGCAAGCGUUGCUCGGAAUCAUUGGGCGUAAAGGGCAAGUAGGUGGUCUCAUUUGUCUUGUGUGAAAUCCUUGGGCUUAACUCAAGAAGUGCGCAAGAAACGGUGAGACUCGAGUUCUGGAGAGGGUCGCGGAAUUCCCGGUGUAGAGGUGAAAUUCGUAGAUAUCGGGAGGAACACCGGUGGCGAAGGCGGCGACCUGGUUCGAUACUGACACUGAGGUGCGAAAGCGUGGGGAGCAAACAGG
rnacentral:rRNA from 1 species